rnacentral:misc_RNA from 1 species
ACCCGGGAGGAAAUCACCCGGCGCAUGGCAUAAUCGCCGCGAUUCGGCGCUCGCAUGGCGAGCCACCUCCUGGAACGUCUGUCUUCUGCUCAUGGCUCUGUAUUCUUCGGCAACGCCCCGACCGGCUCCCGCGCGGCGCGCCCAGCGCGGACACUUUGUGCCGUUCCUGAUCAUGGGUGUGAUCGGCGCCUGCGCGGUCGGAGUGGUGGCUUAUCUUCU